UCGGAGCGGCAAGCCGCGAACUGCGUCGCGACGCCUCCGACUCGAGUCUCGACUCCCGAGGCGCAUCGUUGAUCGCAUCGAGCCGAUCGAGCAGUCGCGCGCGGACCGCGGAACGGAGAGUAUCUGCUUUUCUGCCCGCGCUUUCGCGGCCUCUCGUUCUGCUAUCCCUCGACCCGAAAGACGACAAGCGAGAGUUUUUAAUCUACGUACGACUGACCGAUGCCAGAAUAGAAAAAGCGAGGGUUCCUACGCUGCUCGAGAUCUUUGCUGUUACACUCUCGCACUCUUCGUGCCGUCUUUCUAUUAGUUUUUUUAAUCGUUGAAUUGCCGUUUUUGCUUGCUUCGGUUUCGUUGCAAUUUCGUUUGAAAACAAAACUUGUUAACAAACAUGUGCCUGCGGGUAUUGCAUUCGUCUACAAAUCUGUGACUCUUUAUGUUGUAUUGAUGAAAAAUUGAUUAACCGCGUUUCUACCACGUCAGAAAGGAGUAUUAAGGUAGUAAUAAUAAUAAUAAUAACAACACCGUCAUUUUCACCGCGAAUCGACGGGGGUGGACGUACUCCGCGAAGGGCGACGAGAGCCACGUUAUUCCGUUCUGCGUAGCACGAACUGAAAUCUCGUUCCGUUGGAAACUUGCAUGGAAUUUAUUUGUUCGGUUAACACUGAUGCGAGAAGGUAGCGAUUCAAUAGGUCGUUGGUUAUCGUAUUUCGAAGAUUUUGUUCGUUUUCCGGAAUCGAUUCUCUAAUCGUGUACUUAAUUACAACGAGCUCUCGUUCGGUCAGUACGUACAUGCGUAUGUAAAACAACAGUAAGGCGGAGAGUUUAAUAUCGUAAAUAGGUGCUUGUCUACGCUUUUACCGCAGUGAACAGUGCGUAAUUGUGUCUGUGAUGUGUAUGUGUGUGUGUGUGUGUCAAGUGUUAUCACAUAUGCAUUAAUGUAAAGGGUAUGGGCAACGCAAAGUGAGCAGCAAGUGAGAUCAACGAGAAAAGAAAGAGAGAAACGUUAUCCGUUGUGUUAAUAAUACGCGAGGAACAAUCUGGACGGUUGUAAUAAAUUGCGACGCGGGACGGGAGGAAAACAAUCCAAUUUCGUACAAUUGGUGUGUGUGUCCACAUAGCUCAUGUACGCCAAAGACUGAAGAGACGAGCCGGUUAGCGUGUGGACCCUUACCAAGAUCCGUAGUUGAGACAGGCGAAGAGAAGAGAAGGGGGAAGGAGAAUAAGGAGAGGAACGAAAGAAGAAAAGAAAAGCAAAAUUUUACAAAAGGGGAUAACGAAAAUGGCGGUCGGGGACGGGCAGAUACUGGGGAACGAGGCGGUGGAUUCGCUGACGAUAAUAUCACCGAGUUCAAAACUGUUGAGUGGACCGGGUAACGGUGUUAUAUGCAACGCGAUACCGAAGCACAACAACAACGGACUUAUGCCGAAUGGAAAACCGAUCGAAAUUGUUUCUAACGGCAAACCAGAGGCUGGUGAUAAAAAUUCAAAUGGCACAAACACCGUAGAAUUUUCUGACGAAGAUGUCAGCUGCGGAUGGGGAAGUCUCGUUACACCUAAGUGGAUGCAGUGCUUCGCUUCGAAACAAGCAUUCUUAGUCAUCUUUUGUAUCACCUGGGUCCUCCAGGGUAUGUAUUACACCUACUUCGUAUCUGUAAUAACGACAAUAGAGAAGUUGUUCCAAAUACAGUCGAAAACUACGGGUAUAAUAAUGUCGGCAACCGAGAUCGGGCAAAUCGGUUCGUCGCUUCUUCUGACCUAUUACGGGGGUCAAGGUCACAGGCCUAAAUGGAUAGCGUGGGGGAUGAUCUUGUUCGCUGUAAGUUCCUUCUCCUGUUCCAUGCCGCACUUCAUAUUCGGCGAUAAACUCAUGCGGCAAAAUGAAAUGCUUCACACGACCGGCCCCGUUCCACCAAACUUGUGCAAGCUUGAGGAGCCAUGGGAUACAAACACGACGAGGGAUACCACGCCUGUGUUGCGGAAUCUGUCCUCAACUUACUGCAAGGAAGCUUUCUUAGAGGAACGGAGGAUACAGAGCAAAAUCACAACGAUAGUUUUGGCUAUAUUCUUCGUCUCUUUACUCGGUGUUGGAAUGGGCCAGACGGCCGUUUACACUCUUGGGAUUCCUUAUAUUGACGACAACGUUGCUAGCAGAGAGAGUCCUCUCUAUUUUGCAAUUACAAUCGGCGUGAGAAUACUCGGACCAGCUCUCGGUUUUAUACUUGGAUCGCUCUGCACAAUGUUGUACGCAGAUUUGUCCGUAACUCCGGAAAUUACGCCUUCAGAUCCUCGAUGGGUGGGUGCCUGGUGGCUCGGUUUGGUACUCGUUUCGGCGAUGCUACUGUUGGCCAGCGUCGCCAUGUUCGCAUUUCCUCGUCGUUUGCCAUCUAGCAAAGCACCGCUUCGGCGCGAUGAUGCGAACAAGCCGAGUCUCAAAGAUUUUCCAAAAGCCGUCAAAAGGUUACUCAAAAAUGAUAUACUCAUGUUUCGAACUGCGAGCAGCGUCCUGCACAUCUUGCCUAUCGCCGGCCUCUACACUUUUCUACCAAAGUAUCUGGAGAGCCAAUUCCGACUUCCAGCUCAUCAUGCUAACAUGAUUUCAGGAGUCGGAGGUAUCCUUGUAAUGGGCCUCGGUAUAGUGCUCAGUGGGGUAUUUAUUCUGAAAAUGAAACCCAAUGCCAGGCUAGUCGCUGCCUGGAUCGCCUUCACAGCUAUCGUCUAUGCCGUUGGCAUGGGGAUUUUGAUGUUCAUUGGAUGUCCGAUGGAUGAUUUUGCAGGGCUUGUGUUACAUCCUGAACAGAAAGUUGAAGAUAAGAACGUCUUCAGUAUGUCUAGUUUUGCGCUGACGUGUGAAACAGAUUGCGAAUGUGAUUACAACAAAUUUAGUCCGAUCUGUGGAUCCGAUGGUAAAACUUACUACUCGGCUUGUCAUGCAGGCUGUUCCAACUACGUUGUUGAAAACGACAAGGUAGUUUCCUAUUCGGACUGUCAGUGUAUUGAUCAGAAUUCUACACACUCCGAUCCAUUGGACACUGCAACAAUUGGUUACUGCGAUUUAGACUGCAACAACUUCUGGGUCUAUAUGAUUCUAUUCUCAGUCUUUGUUUUCAUUCAUUCUACGAGUGAAGUUGGCUCCAUGCUACUGAUACUCCGAUGUGUCGACCCUAGGGACAAGGCCAUGGCUUUGGGGCUGAUACAAUUUGCAAUUGGCCUUUUCGGUAACGUUCCUUGCCCCAUAGUUUACGGUGCUGUUGUAGACUCGGCCUGUCUUGUGUGGGACGUUGCGUGCGGUGAACGCGGUGCCUGCUGGCUCUACGAUUCUAACAUAUUCCGAAUGUUUUAUCAUGAUGAAAAGGAAGUGAAAAUCUAUGUGCCGACGAAGACGUGAGAUAUCGAUUGACAUCGUUAACACAAAGAACUGCUUGGAGAUUUCUCACAUGACCUCAAAAUCACUUCAGAUGUCUUCGAAAAAUGUCGAGAUUUUGAAUACUGCCGAAGGACUACAAGAGAUUGGUAUUUUGAUAAGGCGACAGAUAAUCAUUCAGGAACUUGACGAAGUAUUUUGCAGCCUCAACUACGCUCGCGUUAUUUUUGUCAACUUCUUCCCAUCCCAGACAAGCACACCAGUGAGGCUCAAUGAAGGCAUCUGCACAGGUCCUUUCCAGUGGAAUCUGAACACGUACAAAAGUUUCGAUGUGAUGCAAGGCAAGAAUUGAAUACUGCGUGAAUUUUAUUUUUUUAACAAGCAUGAUUAGAUCACAGAAAACAAUAUCCGUCGCAUGAAAAACUCACACGAGCUCUAGCAAUUUUUCGUUUCAAAUACCUUGUUGAACAAGCUUAUGGCUCGAUGAGUGCGAUCUCCUUCUUUCGGGGUUUCAAAUUUCAGUAUACUCUGCAACGUUUUGUGGACGUCAAACGGUGUCGUUAAAUGUUGAGUAUUAUAAACAAAAUUGGCAUAUGCAUGCGGAUGUGCCUGCUUAAACCAAUUUGGAAA
rnacentral:misc_RNA from 1 species